rnacentral:rRNA from 1 species
CUAGCUGUAAACGAUGGAUACUAGGCGUUGAGAGUAUCGACCCUCUCAGUGUCGUAGCUAACGCGUUAAGUAUCCCGCCUGGGGAGUACGCGCGCAAGCGUGAAACUCAAAGGAAUUGACGGGGCCCGCACAAGCGGUGGAGUAUGUGGUUUAAUUCGAUGCAACGCGAAGAACCUUACCAGGGCUUGACAUGUCCGGAACCCUGCCCAAAGGCGGGGUGCCUACGGGAACCGGAACACAGGUGGUGC